UCUUCCCGGAAACUCACAAAAUACGCUGGAUACCUUGGAUAUCAGGCCUUGUUCAGACGGCCCUUUAUGCGGACUUCUUUUACUAUUACAUUAAAAGUUGGAAAAAUCAUGAGAAGUUGAAGCUUCCGGCGUGAAGCACACAGUCCUUGGGUCAGAGGGUAGGGAGGAAGCAAAUGCAAAUUGCGGAGGCAAGGCAUUUUAAGCUGAGCAGGACACAUGGGCUUUUCUCUCUUACAAUGGCUCUACUUUAAUCGCUCAAAUGGAUGAUGAGCGCUGUGGUCUUCAACUUGAUUAUGUGUUUAACUAGUCUUUAGCCAUAGUUAUCGACUUGGAGGACUAGCAAUGUAAAUAUCUGCUUCUCUUAAACUUAGUUGUCAUCCCCAGGGUCCCUCCUGGCUACAUUGAGGAGGCUUUUAUUACCGACUGAUUCUACUUGGCGGGUGCUCUUUUUCGAUA